AAAUUGAAGAGUUUGAUCAUGGCUCAGAUUGAACGCUGGCGGCAGGCCUAACACAUGCAAGUCGAACGGUAACAGGAAGCAGCUUGCUGCUUCGCUGACGAGUGGCGGACGGGUGAGUAAUGUCUGGGAAACUGCCUGAUGGAGGGGGAUAACUACUGGAAACGGUGGCUAAUACCGCAUAACGUCGCAAGACCAAAGAGGGGGACCUUCGGGCCUCUUGCCAUCAGAUGUGCCCAGAUGGGAUUAGCUUGUUGGUGAGGUAAUGGCUCACCAAGGCGACGAUCCCUAGCUGGUCUGAGAGGAUGACCAGCCACACUGGAACUGAGACACGGUCCAGACUCCUACGGGAGGCAGCAGUGGGGAAUAUUGCACAAUGGGCGCAAGCCUGAUGCAGCCAUGCCGCGUGUAUGAAGAAGGCCUUCGGGUUGUAAAGUACUUUCAGCGGGGAGGAAGGUGUUGU
rnacentral:rRNA from 1 species